GAUGAACGCUGGCGGCGUGCCUAAUACAUGCCAGUCGAGCGAACGGACGAGAAGCUUGCUUCUCUGAUGUUAGCGGCGGACGGGUGAGUAACACGUGGAUAACCUACCUAUAAGACUGGGAUAACUUCGGGAAACCGGAGCUAAUACCGGAUAAUAUUUUGAACCGCAUGGUUCAAAAGUGAAAGACGGUCUUGCUGUCACUUAUAGAUGGAUCCGCGCUGCAUUAGCUAGUUGGUAAGGUAACGGCUUACCAAGGCAACGAUGCAUAGCCGACCUGAGAGGGUGAUCGGCCACACUGGAACUGAGACACGGUCCAGACCCCUACGGGAGGCAGCAGUAGGGAAUCUUACGCAAUGGGCGAAAGCCUGACGGAGCAACGCCGCGUGAGUGAUGAAGGUCUUCGGAUCGUAAAACUCUGUUAUUAGGGAAGAACAUAUGUGUAAGUAACUGUGCACAUCUUGACGGUACCUAAUCAGAAAGCCACGGCUAACUACGUG
rnacentral:rRNA from 1 species